UGGGGGAAUAUUGCACAAUGGGCGCAAGCCUGAUGCAGCGAUGCCGCGUGAGGGAAGAAGGUCUUCGGAUUGUAAACCUCUGUCUUCGGUGACGAUAAUGACGGUAGCCGAGGAGGAAGCCACGGCUAACUACGUGCCAGCAGCCGCGGUAAUACGUAGGUGGCAAGCGUUGUCCGGAAUUACUGGGUGUAAAGGGAGCGUAGGCGGGGACGCAAGUCGAAUGUCAAAUCCAUCGGCUCAACCGGUGAUCGCGUUCAAAACUGUGUCUCUUGAGUGGAGUAGAGGCAGGCGGAAUUCCCAGUGUAGCGGUGAAAUGCGUAGAUAUUGGGAGGAACACCAGUGGCGAAGGCGGCCUGCUGGGCUCUAACUGACGCUGAGGUUCGAAAGUGUGGGUAGCAAACAGGAUUAGAUACCCUGGUAGUCCCUAGACUGCCAAGGCACAC
rnacentral:rRNA from 1 species